CCUACGGGUGGCUGCAGUGAGGAAUAUUGGUCAAUGGGCGCGAGCCUGAACCAGCCAAGUAGCGUGAAGGAUGACUGCCCUACGGGUUGUAAACUUCUUUUAUAAAGGAAUAAAGUGAGGCACGUGUGCCUUUUUGUAUGUACUUUAUGAAUAAGGAUCGGCUAACUCCGUGCCAGCAGCCGCGGUAAUACGGAGGAUCCGAGCGUUAUCCGGAUUUAUUGGGUUUAAAGGGAGCGUAGAUGGGUUGUUAAGUCAGGUGUGAAAGUUUGGGGCUCAACCGUAAAAUUGCAAUUGAUACUGGCAGGCUUGAGUAUAGUUGAGGUAGGCGGAAUGCGUGGGGUAGCGGGGAAAUGCUUAGAGAUCACGAAGAACUCCGAUUGCGAAGGCAGCUUACUAAGCUGCCACUGACAUUGAUGCUCGAAAGUGUGGGUAGCAAACAGGAUUAGAUACCCGAGUAGUC
rnacentral:rRNA from 1 species